rnacentral:lncRNA from 1 species
UUAUUCCACUGCAUGUAACUAUUUUGAUGCACUUGUAACCUAUUUCUAUAUCUGGCUCUCUUAUGCUAUCUUUUAGUAUUUGGGAUGUCACACAAUGACUCAAAUAGUGUCACGAUAUGAAAUCAUUCUUAUGGGACUCAAACUAGUUGCAAAGUCCAUGGUCCUGCUCCCAUUUCCAUUCAGAGAUAGGAAGAGCUUGCAAAAGACCACCAGUGUGGCAUCCAA